GCAUCGAUGAAGAACGCAGCGAAAUGCGAUACUUGGUGUGAAUUGCAGAAUCCCGUGAACCAUCGAGUCUUUGAACGCAAGUUGCGCCUGAAGCCAUUAGGCCGAGGGCACGUCUUCCUGGGUGUCACGC
rnacentral:rRNA from 1 species